rnacentral:rRNA from 1 species
UACGAAGGGGGCAAGCGUUGUUCGGAAUUACUGGGCGUAAAGGGCGCGUAGGCGGCUUACCAAGUCAGGCGUGAAAUUCCCGGGCUCAACCUGGGGGCUGCGCUUGAUACUGGUGAGCUUGAAUGCGGGAGAGGAUAGUGGAAUUCCCAGUGUAGAGGUGAAAUUCGUAGAUAUUAGGAAGAACACCGGUGGCGAAGGCGGCCCACUGGUCCGGUACUGACGCUGAGGUGCGAAAGCGUGGGGAGCAAACAGG